UACGUAGGGGUCUAGCGUUGUCCGGAUUUAUUGGGCGUAAAGAGCGUGUAGGCGGCCAUGUAGGUCCGGUGUGAAAACUCGAGGCUUAACCUCGAGAUGUCAUCGGAAACCAUUUGGCUAGAGUCCGGAAGAGGAGAGUGGAAUUCCUGGUGUAGCGGUGAAAUGCGCAGAUAUCAGGAGGAACACCGAUGGCGAAGGCAGCUCGCUGGGACGGUACUGGACGCUAAGGCGCGAAAGCGUGGGGAGCGAACAGG
rnacentral:rRNA from 1 species